rnacentral:rRNA from 1 species
GAUUUCUGAUGUUGACUUAUUUGACCCAUCGGGCGUUAGCACGUGUGAGUGUCUGAAUAGUGUCCAUCUUUUUCUUUCUUGUGAUUAAUUUUCUGUUAAAGGAGAAUUAAAAAUAAGAAUCUUUUACUUUGAACAAAUUAGAGUGUUUCAAGCAGGCUUUAUGCUAUGAAUACAUUAGCAUGGAAUAAUAAUUUAGGACUUCGGUUCUAUUUUGUUGGUUUCUAGGACUGAAGUAAUGAUUGAUAGGGAUAGUUGGGGGUGCUAGUAUUCAGCGGCCAGAGGUGAAAUUCUCGGAUUCGCUGAAGACUAACUUAUGCGAAAGCAUU